AUUGAACGCUGGCGGCAGGCUUAACACAUGCAAGUCGAGCGCACAGAGGACUGGUGAGUAAUGUCUGAGAAACUGCCUGAUGGAGUGGGAUAACUACUGGAAACGGUCGCUAAUACCGCCUACCAUCCUAUGUGCCCAGAUGGGAUUAGCUAGUAGGUGGGGUAAUGGCUCAACUAGGCGACGAUCCCUAGCUGGUCUGAGAGGAUGACCAGACACACUGGAACGGAGACACGGUCCAGACUCCUACGGGAGGCAGCAGUGGGGAAUAUUGCACAAUGGGCGCAAGCCUGAUGCAGCCAUGCCGCGUGUGUGAAGAAGGCCUUCGGGGUGUAAAGCACUGUCAGCGAGGAGGCGUUACUCGCAGAAGAAGCACCGGCUAACUCCGUGCCAGCAGCCGCGGGAAUAC
rnacentral:rRNA from 1 species